UACGUAGGGGGCGAGCGUUGUCCGGAUUUAUUGGGCGUAAAGAGCGUGUAGGCGGCCAGGUAGGUCUGCUGUGAAAACUCGAGGCUCAACCUCGAGACGUCGGCGGAAACCAUCUGGCUAGAGUCCGGAAGAGGAGAGUGGAAUUCCUGGUGUAGCGGUGGAAUGCGCAGAUAUCAGGAAGAACACCCGUGGCGAAGGCGGCUCUCUGGGACGGUACUGACGCUGAGACGCGAAAGCGUGGGGAGCGAACAGG
rnacentral:rRNA from 1 species